rnacentral:lncRNA from 1 species
GAUCACUAGUGAGGAUCUGAAAGAAAACGAAGCAUAAACAGACGUGAGCUACACGGCUCAGUAAGUAAUCCUGCAUAAUCCUACCGGAUCAACUAGUAGGCUAAACAUGUAAAUCAGGGUUUGAGAAGCUGACAUGCAUAUUUAUCUAAUAAUCAUCAUGGCAUAAUAUGUAUGCAAUUUAAACAAAGCAGUAGUGCAAAUCACAAAAAUUUUCAUAAAAUAUGCAUAUGAAACCGUGCCCCCGGCAUGCCGUGGUCCAUUCUCUCGGAUGCUACUGC